rnacentral:rRNA from 1 species
CGGGUGAGUAACGCGUGAGGAACCUGCCUCAAAGAGGGGGACAACAGUUGGAAACGACUGCUAAUACCGCAUAAGCCCACAGCUCGGCAUCGAGCAGAGGGAAAAGGAGUGAUCCGCUUUGAGAUGGCCUCGCGUCCGAUUAGCUAGUUGGUGAGGUAACGGCCCACCAAGGCGACGAUCGGUAGCCGGACUGGGAGGUUGAACGGCCACAUUGGGACUGAGACACGGCCCAG